GCCCGUGUAUCACAAUGGAUAGUGUCCCUCCCUCCGAAGGAGGUUAUUCCGGUUCGAUUCCGGACAUGGGUA
rfam:Fibrobacter sp. TWP2 genome assembly, contig: Ga0136289_105